rnacentral:rRNA from 1 species
GGUUGGUACAACGAGUCGCAAGCCGGUGACGGCAAGCUAAUCUCUUAAAGCCAAUCUCAGUUCGGAUUGUAGGCUGCAACUCGCCUACAUGAAGUCGGAAUCGCUAGUAAUCGCGGAUCAGCACGCCGCGGUGAAUACGUUCCCGGGCCUUGUACACACCGCCCGUCACACCACGAGAGUUUGUAACACCCGAAGUCGGUGAGGUAACCUUUUAGGAGCCAGCCGCCUAAGGUGGGAUAGAUGAUUGGGGUGAAGUCGUAACAAGGUAGCCGUAUCGGAAGGUGCGGCUGGAUCACCUCCUUUCUAAGGA